GCCUUCGUGGUGUAGUGGUCUGGAUGCUUGACGCGUAACCGAGAGGUCCGUGGUUCGAUUCCCUGCGAAGGCG
rnacentral:tRNA from 1 species